UCCCCCCCCCCCAUCAACGCCGCCGUCUUCCUCCCUGCGUGCUUGCCGCCGUCGCGCGCUCGCCUCCAGCACGGCUGCUCGGCAAAACCGCGGCAGUGGCGGCGCCUAUGGCGUGCGGUGGCUCGGUUGCGCAGGAGAAAAAAAAAAGAGAAGGGAGAAAAAAAAGGAAAAAGGGAGAAAGAAUUACAUGUCAUUAUGUCAUUGUCCACGUGUCAUGUCACGUAGGCAAGACCACGGUAAAACGCGGGUUUACACCGGGAUGAUACAAUAAACCAAGUUUAGAGACCUCGAUAUGCGUUUUGCAAGUUCGUGGACCUAAGUGAAACCUCCUGACAAGUUUAAGGACCGCUGGCGUAUUCUACUCUCUCAAAUAAUACAUCAAAUCUAUAAGGGCAUUCACCUUCCAUGAAAAUCUCCUCCAUUUGCAAGAUUCGCUCAAGAAGCAUCGACAACGGCUGCUGCUCCCCGCCGCCACGCCUCCUGCUCGCUGCCAAUGCUUGGUCGGGUCGCGGUCGCCUGGUCAAGUUGCCGACAUUGGCUGCUGCUCGCUGCCACCACACCCUCCUUGUCGCCGUGUCUUGGUUGGGUGACGGUUGCCUGGUCGGGUCGGCGACGAUGACUGUUGCUCCUCGCCACCUUGCCCGCUCCCACGCCAUCAUGCCAUCCUGCUCGCCGUCGCGGCUUGGUUGGUUCGCGGCCACCUAAUUCGGUCAUCGAUGAUGGCUGCUGCUUCCUGCCGCCUGGACGGCCCACCGACACCGACUGUGCAUGGCCGAGUCUUCGCUGCCGCCGUUGUUGCCGCUGAACUGUAGGGUUUGCGAUGUGGAUUGGGGAGAGGAGUCAGCGGUAGAAGAAAGGGCCUCCUGACAUUUGCAAAAUAACCAGAGCCAGAAAGGUCAAUUGUAUUCUGUAAAAUCAUUA